CUCGUAGGCGGCUCAGUAAGUCGGGUGUGAAACCCUCAGGCUCAACCUGGGGACGCCACCCGAUACUGCUGUGGCUAGAGUCCAGUAGGGGAGUGUGGAAUUCCCGGUGUAGCGGUGAAAUGCGCAGAUAUCGGGAGGAACACCAGCGGCGAAGGCGGCACUCUGGGCUGGAACUGACGCUGAGGAGCGAAAGCGUGGGUAGCAAACA
rnacentral:rRNA from 1 species